rnacentral:rRNA from 1 species
UACGUAGGUGGCAAGCGUUGUCCGGAUUUAUUGGGCGUACAGGGCGCGCCGGUGGUGUGCUAAGUCUGCCGUGAAAUCUCCCGGCUCAACUGGGAGGCUGCGGUGGAGACUGGUGCGCUUGAGGUACCUAGAGGUCGGUGGAAUUCCCGGUGUAGUGGUGAAAUGCGUAGAGAUCGGGAGGAACACCAGUGGCGAAGGCGGCCGGCUGGGGGUGACCUGACGCUGAGGCGCGAAAGCGUGGGGAGCGAACCGG